GCAAGCUUGAAGGAGAGAGGGUGACCCAGUGGAGGAAAGGACAGAAGCCAGAUGGAACCAAGCUUUAAUUUGAUGGGAUAAAAAUAGAUCCGCUUGUGUUUUUCUUUCACAAUGAAUUUCGCGUGUGCAAAAGGUGCCCAGACUGACAGCUCGGGAGAGCGGAGACCUCUGCACAUCCACUAACCAGCUGAGGCUACCAGCAAGAAGAGCCAUGCAGACAGAAGUAGAGACAGACACCCCAACCCCAGUCUCAAACAUCCCUGCACGUGGAAGAUAUUUGGAUAUAGCUGCUGGGCUUCUGGGCUUCAAAAGAGCUCAACUACAACCUCAUAUCCAGGCUGCUCAGAAAUAUCCAAUCCCAUGUUGAAUCUUGUUAAGCUCUUGGCCUCAACGACCUCCCAUGGCAAUGAGUUCCAUGAUUUAAUAAUGACUAUUUAAAGUUAGGCUGGCAGCAAAGCAAUAUGUGUGGAACAGAUCUUCUGAUGGGAAUUGGAAGCAAAC